CUUACGUCUACUGUACAUCAUCAGUCCGCGCCAGGGGCUCGAUUGGCCCACUACGUUCAACGAAGUGGCUGCUUUGUGGUACCGGCAAUGAGUUGCCCCGGGGUGGCGGCGGCUCCCUGCCUUUGGCGGCUGCGCCAGGGUGUUCAGCGGUCCCUCUCAGCCCGUGGAGGAAGGAUCGGUGUCAGAUUUCGCAGUUCAGGAAUGACUUUAGACAAUAUCAAUUGGGCAGCUGUGGAUCGAAUAAUCCGGGUGGAUCAUGCAGGCGAAUACGGAGCAAACCGCAUCUAUGCCGGGCAGAUGGUCGUCCUGGGUCGGACAAGCGUCGGGCCAGUCAUUCAGAAAAUGUGGGAUCAAGAAAAGGACCAUUUGAAAAAGUUCAGUGAGUUGAUGGUUACGUUCAGGGUCCGGCCGACAGUUCUGAUGCCCCUUUGGAAUGUGCUGGGGUUUGCACUAGGGGCGGGAACCGCCUUGCUUGGGAAGGAAGGUGCGAUGGCCUGCACUGUGGCGGUGGAAGAGAGCAUAGCACAUCACUACAACAACCAGAUCAGGACGCUGAUGGAGGAGGACCCUGAAAAAUAUGAGGAACUUCUUCAGGUGAUUAAGAAAUUUCGAGAUGAAGAGCUUGAGCACCAUGACAUAGGCCUUGACAACGAUGCAGAAUUGGCUCCAGCAUAUGCCAUCCUGAAGAGCGUUAUCCAGGCCGGCUGCAAAGCAGCGAUAUAUUUAUCAGAAAGAUUGUAAAGUGUGUCCAGCUAUGCCUGUCUAUAAAAGAUGAUAAUUUACCAAGUGUCAUUUGCAGAGAAACAAGUGUACAGAGGCAAAAUCUCACUAUGUUGCCAGGCUGGUCUCUAAUUCCUGGGUUCAGCAGUCCUCCCGUUUCCACCUCCCAAAGUGCCAGGAUUACAGGCAUGAGCAACUUCACCAGGCUAAUUUUCUCCUGAAACGUCAAGGACAAAUCAUUAGUAAUGUAACAGGAAUCUUUAGGAGAAAAAACAGUUUGGUUUACUGAUAACAAAAGGUAAUUGGAAACAUGAGAGUAUUUAAGAUUCACCAAGCAGAACUGUGAAGUCCAUCAGGUAAGUCAAAGAUCAUCGUCAUUUCUGUUUUCAGUUGUGGGUGAUAUGGGUGGGAGAGUACUACAGUCUGAAUGUUUGUGUCUCCCCAGAAUUCAUUUGAUGAAAUCUUCACCCUCAAGUUGAUAGAAGGUGGGGCCUUUGGGAAAUAUAAGAUCAUGAGGGUGGAGCCCUCAUGAAUGAGAUUAGUGCCUUAUGAAAGGCACCAGAGAGAUUCCUCAUCCUCUCCACGGUGUGAGACUUUAAGGGGCGUGGUCUCUGAGAAAGUGGACUCUUCACAAGCACAAAUCAACAAGCACUUUGAUCAUGGACUUCCCAACCUCUAGGACUGUGAGCAAUAAAUGUUUGAUGUUUAUAAGCCACCCAGAUUGUGACACCCUGAACAGGCUAAGAUGGGGUGUUGCUUCCAUCAAAGAAUAUACUAACUUGUGGAUUAUUUGUGAAAUUGAAUUAUAAUAAUUUCCUUAAGGUCUUUUACUGCUCCUUUCCCCACACACAAAAAAAACCAAAACUGAUUCAAAAUGUCAUACUUUAAUGAAACAUUUUAUAAUUUGCAAAUUUUUAAGUAAUUCAUGAAAAACCUAGACCAGUGGAUCUCCUCUCUAGCUGCUCAUUAGAAUGUCCUGUGGAGUUUAAAUUUUUUAUGUUUGUGGAUCAAGAGUUCUGACUUGUUUAGGGUGGGGUUCAGGAUCAGGUGGUUUCUGAAGCUCCCAGGUGAUUCUGCUGCGAGAUGGGGCUGUGAGUCCCUGAGCUAGGUUAUAAGAUGCUUCUGGGAAAGAACCAUAUUUUAGGAAUUUGCCUUCCAACCAGUGCCCUACGUUUAAUCAGCACCUGAUGAGCCCCACCACAGUCUGGCUUUGAAGGGCAGUGGAUGCCAGGAUCAUUUUGAUUAAUCUUCUGCCACCUCUUUCUUUCCUCAACCAAGAGUGAAUUUAAUAUUAUUUAAUUGAAAGUCUACAAGUCAUAAUUGUAAUAAAUUAAGGCCAGGCAUUUGUUUUAAGUUAGGUAAGAUAAAGCCAAAGAUUUGAACAAGUUGUAGAUGGUUUGUAAAAAUUAAUCUUGUAAAAUAAAUUCUCUGUGAACAUAUUUAUUAAAUUCAAAAGGAUAUUUGGUUUUUCUGUAAAUUGAACCUUGGAAUAAAUGCACAACAAGGUUUUCUUAAAGCACUGAUCUGCUCUUUUACAAGAAUUUGUAAAGGGUUAUAAAAGGCUUAUAAGAAUCUCACCUCAUGGUCAAACUGGUUAAGAUUGGAUGGAUUUAUCUAUACGGUUUUAUUAAAAAUUGGGGAUGAUGUUAAUAGUAGACUGAUGCAAGGGUGAAAUCUGACUCUCUUGAACAAGAUUUUCAUGUAAUAGUGAAGGAUAAUGAAAGAUUUUUGUUUGCCUUGCCAAUAAACUACCAAAAGAAGGGAAAGGAAAGAGACAAAUUGUUAGGAAAGUUGUCUUCCCUCUUACUGAGUAUAGGUUGUGUGCCUUUUAAAAAAGUUUUUGAGUUAUCAUUUUGUCUAAUGGUAACCUGUAAUUCUGUUUUAAUAAUAGCAAGUGUUUUAAACCUUUAACAUGUUUGGUAGCCUUCCCCAAAUCAAAUUUUAGCUUCAAGGUUGUCUUUUUUGACCCCUAACUUUUGGAUGCUGCAGAAGUCCCCUAAAUUAUUUGACAUGUUUAAUUACAUGGAAUUGCCAAAAUUAAAAUAAUGUUUAAUUUUCUUCAGGUUAGAUUUUAGUGAAUAACAUUAAUAUGUGUUCCAAAAUUGUAUGAGAUUUCUAAAAUUAUACUGAGUAUAUGUUAUCAAUCAUAAUUAGGUUUAUUAAGUUAUUGUAAACCACAGAAAUAACCAAAUUUGUCAAUUGUGUUUUCGACUGUGACUACCCGAAGACAUUCUUUGCAUUCACAGACAAUUGUAGUCUUGUUUUGAUUCUCUUCAAAGGAUGGUUUUUAAUCAGCUAUCGAACUUUGACAGGUGCUCUUAAAUGCAGGUUUCUGAUAUCUUUGGAGAUCGUGAUAUUAGGAUAAAGGAAAAACAUUCAGCACGCAUGACUAGCUGAAAUAUUCCUGAAUAUCAAGCAGAACAAGAGUUAACUGGGCUGAACUAAUAGAAAACAAGUAAUCUGUUUAACUUUUUGCUUAACCCAUUGCUCAUCUAUUUUUCAGUGUCAAGAAAACUUUUAUUUUGAGCUAUUUAUAGCUUUUAACAAUUGAGUAAGGUAUACUCCUGUGAACCAAAUUUGGAGCAUAUUUCUUUCUGCUGAUUUCUCUAGAAUUUGGAAACUAUUUGUGAGUAUUCUUAUGGCCAUGUAGUUAUUUGCAUCAGUGCAACAAGAAUCCAUUUUCUUUUGCAACAGGACACAAUUGGAAAAAUUGUUUUACCAGUUUCUGAUAGAAGGGUGUGCUUCUCUUUAAGGAAUCAAGCUUGACUUGCAGAGCCAAAAAAAAAAAAAAAAAACAAACUUCUUGGAAAAAUUGGCCUCAUAACUUCAUCUACACAGUCCUUGUACAGGGCUCCUAACCUGUGAUGAGUAAAGAAUGUCACUUUCUAACAGGCCCAAGAGCCCCAAGUUAUCUUGGGACCUCAAAAAGAGAGAAAUGUACUCAACUCAAUAGGUAUUUGAAGGUUCAAACCCAUUACUGGGCUUGGCUUUGAAAAGUCUUUCCUGAGAUUCCUUAUGGAACAGGAUUCCGUCAGAGCCAGUUUUAAAAGCAUAUGUGAAAAAUAAUUAUUCCUGCUGCACUUUAUGCAAAUAAUCAGGCCACGUAUAAGACUAAAAUUUAUUUUGCAAACAACUCAGUCUUAUCACAAUUUAGCAAAAAUGAGGACUGGAGAGAGAAAAAUUAGGAUUUAAAACUCAUCAGACAUGUCAUUAAAUUCUAGUCUCAUUAGUUUUUGUUUGUAUUUUAGACUAACCGUGCUUAUUCCUGUGAACCAACCAGUGAUCUCUGGCUGCAGCUCAGAAGAAACAAAAGGGAUGGGUAAUAUAAAAAUCUGAAUCAGUAUUCUAGUUCUGGGCAGCUAUCCUGCAAAUCCUGCCAGAUGACAGGGGAAAAAGGGGUGCCCAUAACCUGGAGUUUUCUUUGGGAAAAUAAGACCAGGGGAGCUAACCAAAGCCCCACCCCAUGCACCCCAAUUUUAGCAAAGAAACCUAUAGCCACAAGUUAUCUGGGCGUGUUGGCAGCCUCAGGAUUUUUGAGCUGUCCUUACUCCCUUGUUUCAUUUUGAUACAUGUCUUCUAAUAGCCUAGUUUGUCUCUUUUACCUAGAGGUCAUCAAACUCCAAAUGGUCAUGCAGUUGGAAUCUUAAGAAGAUGGCCUCUUUUACCUGGGACCCUUAGAUAGGCCUCUGAGUGAGCUCUGACUGCUGUUUUCCCAAAACAGCGCCCCCUGUCAGCAGGGAGCAGUUAAGAGUGAUCAUUGUCCUUAUCCUAAUGGCAGUAGGAUGUACCUCUUGAGAGGGGAGAAUGAUAGCAACAGGAGGCAGUCAAAUGCCCAGGAAGAUAGGGAUGGGUCCCUGGUGAAUCCUGACCUUCAAACCAAAGACAGUUUAAAGCCUGAAAGCCAAGCUACAAGUCUGGUAAAUCCACAGACUGGACUGAGAACCUGUCUUCCUGUUUGGUGUGACUGAUCUCCACCCUUCCUUAAUUGUUUUUCUACACUGUUGUGCCCAACUUUGAGUGGUGCCUUUGUUUUUUACCCUUUUUUGCAUACUCAGAAACCAGUCAGCAUGCACUCCCCCAUUCUAAGCCCAUAAAAGCCCUGGACCCAGCCACACUGGGGGAGAGACCACCCUUGUGUCCCCUGUCUGCUGAGAGCUGUUCCAUCAGUCAGUGAAAUUCUUCUUUGCCCUCCUCACUUUUCGAUUGUCAGCAUAACCUCAUCCUUCUUGGAUGUGGGAUAAGAACUUGGGAACCGCCAAAUACAGGUACAAGUUGUAAUACAGUCGGGCUGGGGCACACCUGGCCCAGCCACAGGCUGAGCCCAUGUGCAAGUCAGGUGCGGCCAGUGCACCGCGUGGGUGGGGCGCCUCCCUGCGGCAAGUCUGGGGCCGAGUGAGGUCUGGGCUGGGGGGCAUCACCAUUGUGGAGUUCCCCGGUUGGCAUAGUGGCUGAGAAAAAUCCUGCAUAAAAACCUUGCUGAUAGGAAUGAAAAAUAGUAUAGCCAUUUCAGGAAACUGUCUGGUAGUUCCUUAGUUAAACAUAACAUAGGAUACAGCAACUCCUUCUUUGAGUGUUAACCCAAUAGAAAUGAAAACAUAGCCAUGUGUGGUAGCUCACACCUGCAAUCCCAGCACUUUGGGAGGCUGAGGCAGGUGGAUCACUUGAGUCCAGGAGGUUGAGACCAGCCUGGCCAACAUAGCAAAACCUCUUAGCCAGGUGUGGUGGUGGGCUCCUGUUGUCCCAACUGCUUGGGAGGCUGAGGUUGAAGGACUGCUUGGGCCCAGGUGGUAAAGCUGCAGAGAGCCAGGAUCGCACCACUGCACUCUAGCCUGGGUGAGAGGGAGACCCUGUCUCUAAAAAAAGAAAACAUGUUCAAACCAAUACUUGUACAUGAAUGUUCAUAACAACUAAAAGUAGAAACAACUCAUGUCCAUCACCUGAUGGACAAAAAUGUGAUACACCCAAACAAGGCAGUCUUACUCAGCUAUUAAGUAAAGUAGUGAUACAUGAUAACAACAUGGAUGAGCCUUAAAAACAUCACACUUGGGUCCAGAGGUUCAAUAUGGGAAGAUGAAAAUAGUUCUGGAAAUGGAUGGUGUUGAUUGUUGAAUGUCCUUAUUGUCAGAUAAAUGUACUCUUAAAAAUGGUUAACAUGGGGGCCAGGCACAGUGGCUCAUGCCUGCCAUCCCAGCGCUUUGGGAGGCCAAGGUAGAAGGAUCGCUUGAAUCCAGGAGUUCGAGGCUGCAGUGAGCCAGGAGAGCACCAAUACAUUCUAGCCUGAACGACUUUUUGUCUCUGAGGAAAAAAGAUAAAGGUUAAAAUAGCAAAUUUUAUAUUAUGUAUAUUUUACCACAGUUUAAAAAAAAAUUAUGCAAAGUGAAAGAAGCCAGACAUGAAAGGUCAAAUAUUGUAUUAUUCCACUUACAUGAAGUGUCCAGGAUAGGCAAAUCCAUAGAAACAAGGUAGAUUAGUGGUCAUCUGGGGCUGGUGGGUUAGGGAGGGGCAGAAAUGGGGAGUAACUGCUAAUGGAUACAGAGAUUCUUUUUUGGGGGGGUGAUAAAAAUGUUCUAGAAUCAACGGUGAUAGUCGCACAACCUAUACUUAAAUUUACUGGAUCAUAUACCUUAAAAUUGUAAAUUGUAUGACAUGUAAAUUGUCUUAGUCUGUUUUGUGUUCCUGUAACAAAAUACCCAAGACUGGGUAAUUUAUAAA